CAAACAUCGCCUCUUGAGUUAUAUAAGAGGUCCAGCCUGCCCAGUGACUUUUGUUUAACGGCCGCGGUAUCCUAACCGUGCGAAGGUAGCGUAAUCACUUGUUCUUUAAAUAAGGACUAGUAUGAAAGGCAUCACGAGGGCCAAGCUGUCUCCUUUUUCUAAUCCGUGAAACUAAUCUUCCCGUGAAGAAGCGGGAAUGUUUUUAUAAGACGAGAAGACCCUAUGGAGCUUUAAAUGAACACCACCUACAUUUUAUUUUUCAAUUCCAGAAAAUCAACAAAUACAAUGACCCCCUGGCUGUAAAUUUUAGGUUGGGGCGACCGCGGAGAAAAACCUAUCCUCCUCAUUGUUAAAGAAUUUAUCCUAAACAAAAAGCAACAACUUUAUGUAUCAAUAAAAUUGACAUCUAUUGACCCAUUAUUUGAUCAACGAACCAAGUUACCCUAGGGAUAACAGCGCCAUCCACUUUAAGAGCUCAUAUCGACAAGUGGGCUUACGACCUCGAUGUUGGAUCAGGGUAUCCAAGUGGUGCAGCCGCUACUUAAGGUU
rnacentral:rRNA from 1 species